GGUUCACUUUAACACUGAGGCGUGACGACGAGGCACUACGGUGCUGAAGCAACAAAUGCCCUGCUUCCAGGAAAAGCCUCUAAGCAUCAGGUAACAUCAAAUCGUACCCCAAACCGACACAGGUGGUCAGGUAGAGAAUACCAAGGCGCUUGAGAGAACUCGGGUGAAGGAACUAGGCAAAAUGGUGCCGUAACUUCGGGAGAAGGCACGCUGACACGUAGGUGAAGUGAUUUACUCAUGGAGCUGAAGUCAGUCGAAGAUACCAGCUGGCUGCAACUGUUUAUUAAAAACACAGCACUGUGCAAACACGAAAGUGGACGUAUACGGUGUGACGCCUGCCCGGUGCCGGAAGGUUAAUUGAUGGGGUCAGCGCAAGCGAAGCUCCUGAUCGAAGCCCCGGUAAACGGCGGCCGUAACUAUAACGGUCCUAAGGUAGCGAAAUUCCUUGUCGGGUAAGUUCCGACCUGCACGAAUGGCGUAAUGAUGGCCAGGCUGUCUCCACCCGAGACUCAGUGAAAUUGAACUCGCUGUGAAGAUGCAGUGUACCCGCGGCAAGACGGAAAGACCCCGUGAACCUUUACUAUAGCUUGACACUGAACAUUGAGCCUUGAUGUGUAGGAUAGGUGGGAGGCUUUGAAGUGUGGACGCCAGUCUGCAUGGAGCCGACCUUGAAAUACCACCCUUUAAUGUUUGAUGUUCUAACGUGGACCCGUUACCCGGGUUGCGGACAGUGUCUGGUGGGUAGUUUGACUGGGGCGGUCUCCUCCUAAAGAGUAACGGAGGAGCACGAAGGUUGGCUAAUCCUGGUCGGACAUCAGGAGGUUAGUGCAAUGGCAUAAGCCAGCUUGACUGCGAGCGUGACGGCGCGAGCAGGUGCGAAAGCAGGUCAUAGUGAUCCGGUGGUUCUGAAUGGAAGGGCCAUCGCUCAACGGAUAAAAGGUACUCCGGGGAUAACAGGCUGAUACCGCCCAAGAGUUCAUAUCGACGGCGGUGUUUGGCACCUCGAUGUCGGCUCAUCACAUCCUGGGGCUGAAGUAGGUCCCAAGGGUAUGGCUGUUCGCCAUUUAAAGUGGUACGCGAGCUGGGUUUAGAACGUCGUGAGACAGUUCGGUCCCUAUCUGCCGUGGGCGCUGGAGAACUGAGGGGGGCUGCUCCUAGUACGAGAGGACCGGAGUGGACGCAUCACUGGUGUUCGGGUUGUCAUGCCAAUGGCACUGCCCGGUAGCUAAAUGCGGAAGAGAUAAGUGCUGAAAGCAUCUAAGCACGAAACUUGCCCCGAGAUGAGUUCUCCCUGAGACUUAAAGUCUCCUGAAGGAACGUUGAAGACGACGACGU
rnacentral:rRNA from 1 species